GUAGGUGGCAAGCGAUGUCCGGAAUUAUUGGGCGUAAAGCGCGCGCAGGCGGUUCUUUAAGUCUGAUGUGAAAGCCCACGGCUCAACCGUGGAGGGUCAUUGGAAACUGGAGAACUUGAGUACAGAAGAGGAAAGCGGAAUUCCACGUGUAGCGGUGAAAUGCGUAGAGAUGUGGAGGAACACCAGUGGCGAAGGCGGCUUUCUGGUCUGUAACUGACGCUGAGGCGCGAAAGCGUGGGGGAGCAAACAGGAUUAGAUACCCUGGUAGUCCACGCCGUAAACGAUGAGUGCUAAGUGUUAGGGGGUUUCCGCCCCUUAGUGCUGCAGCUAACGCAUUAAGCACUCCCGCCCUGGGGAGUACGGCCGCAAGGCUG
rnacentral:rRNA from 1 species